AAGUGGACUAAACUUAUUUUAUUCACUGGAAUACUACAUCUUCAUUUUGACGCCAUUGAUUUUAUGUUUUUUACUAUUACAUUCUACGUACUAACUAGUUCUGACGUCAUAUAUUAAUGGCUGGAAAUGGAAGGUUAGACACUUUAUGUAUGGCCCUUGCUUGGAAAGGUGAACUUUAAAAAAAAUUAGCAGGUUAAAUAACAAGAAAUUUGUACUAUAUGUUAUUUCUGAUUAUUUGUAUUAAUCACAAUUGGACUAUUUUGUGGCGAAAGUGCGCCCCCUGUUGCCAGGGAACUGGAGCCGGAUGUGGAAUUUGAAAUACAGCCCCAGGACCGCGUUGGAUGCCUGGUUGUUACAGAGAUGAGCGGAGAGAACGUCAAGUUGUUUGUGGGCAACCUUCCUUUAGAUGCAACCCAAGACGAGCUCAAUAAGCUUUUUGCUCCUUACGGGGAGAUCAACACCUGCUCCUUGCUCAGACAGUAUGCCUUCGUUACCCUGAAGGGAGAUGGGGCGGCCGACAGGGCUAUACGGCAUCUCGAUGGCAAGGAGUACAGAGGCAGACCACUUGUGGUGGAGGAAUCACGCGCACGCCCGCCAAACUCCACCAAAGUGUUUGUGGGGAACCUCAGCGCCACAUGUUCUGCCGAUGACCUGCAUGGACUGUUCUCGACUUUUGGGAGGGUUUUAGAUUGUGAUAAAGUCAAAGCUAGAUUAUGUUCAAACGUCGGGUAUGCGUUUGUGCAUAUGGAAAGAAAGGAGGAGGCAAUGGCAGCCAUCGAGGCCCUCAAUGGAACCAUUUUCAAGGGCCGUCAGCUGGCUGUAGAGCUCUCCAAAGCUCAACCUUUGGUCAACCAGUUAAUGACGUCCGGGAAUUCAGCUGGUGGUAGAGAGGGUCUCCUUCCUCGGCCAGCUGGCUCCAUGGAGCAUCACCAGAGUCAUGCUGCUGUGCUUGCAGCGGCUGCAGCAGCUGCUGCUGGACUUCCCAUACAAGUGCAACAAAGUGUCCAUAACUCGUUCUACAACACAACAUCCUUUGACCCCACCUAUGCUGCUCUGAAAGGCAUCACAAGUUCUAAAGGAGCAGACGGGGUUAUAUAUGGCGCUCUCGCCAGCCAGGUGUAUGGAUCUGUAGCUGACCAGGUGUACCAAGAUAUGGCCAAUCACACUGCAGCACCAAGCAGUACGGCUGAAGAGUACGAGGCUCAAACCACACCAGACCCAACAACGCUUUUCGAGGCUGCAAGAGCCAAGUUCUUCCAGGAGGGACAGAAGGUUCUGGCGGAGCAACAAGCAGGGAGAAAAACGAUGACAACCACAGCUAGUACAGAUACAACAACUUCAGAACCAGAGCGGGAUCGCAGCCCGAUCAGAGGAAACAAGGCGCCCUUGCUUCCAGACCCUGGUCCAGGUUCCUUCACAAAUCGAGCUAAGCGCCGUGCUUUGCUGCCAACGCCACCUGGAGUUCCUGAAGACCCUGCAACUACGACUGCUGAGGGGGCAGAUUCUGUUGCAAGGUCCUACACAGAAUAUUACCAGCAAAUGCAUCAGUACCAACAGUACCAACAGUACCAGCAACAGUACCAUUACCUUCAGUAUGCCUACACCAAUCCUCCGCCCCCUCCGCCGCCGGCCACCACAGAAUCCUCCAGCGCAAUCCCUCCACCCCCAGGGACAUACACAGCACCCCCGGCCUACUCAGCAACGCAAGACUACGGGCCCCCAGGAACGUACGACCCCCCCACGAGUUAUGACCAGUCAGCGGAGAGCUACGAUGCCUCGGCGGCGAGCUACGGCGCCUCCGGAAACUACAGCGCCUCGGCUGGCUAUGACGCAUCAGGAGGCUACGGAGCGUACGAUACAUCCGGAGCUUACGCAGCAGCGGGAAGCUACUCCGCAUCCACACCGUAUGAGCAGACACCCGCACACGGGCAACCCACGCCCCAGCGCAAUGAUUACCCUUACAACACGCCAGAACCCCCGUACCGAUAGGCCCACCCCUUCACACAGUCUUUCCACACUCACUGCAGAUGUGUGAGUCAUUAGACAAGGGACAGUUGAAGGGUCAAAUAAGGCAGGCUGUUGUCAUUUGAAUGUUCGGUAUAUCUGAAGCAUCUCAUUCUUCUCAAUCUUGGCUUAUCUCGUUUCCAUCAAUCUUGGCUCUUGUUAGUGACUAUUGACACAUGCAAAACAAGGGAUAUUUUAUACCGGUAUCUCUUUAGUUGUUGCACAGGCACAGCUGGUUUUUGUGAGGCAGGAAGUUACUCAUUGUGAGCUUGUAUCAGGGAAGGCUUUUUUUGAUUAUAUACUUUGCGGUUAUGGAGUUUUGCAGGCAAUCCCAAGAUGUUAGGGUUGGGUUAUGUUUCUCUGUGAGCUCUAUACCAGUUAAACGCGCCUAUUUUUCUUUGUGAUCAUGAUUUGGACAUCGAUACGCACCUACUUGCAUCAAAAUAUGGCCCCUCAGUGCAGCGUUUCCAAUUGGCUUAAUUGUUUGCUAAGAGCCAACCCAUUUUGUGCCGUAUUUAAUUACAAAAUUCAACAAUGAUGACAUUUAGGACACUCAACAUGUCUUUCAUUCACAUAAUGUUGACUGAAUGUUUUUCUGCCAAGUUUGGAUGUGGCUGUAUAGCAUUCGGGAUGAAAAAAAUUACAUUGAUAUUUAACUCUAUCCCACUCCUCCAAAUCGGCUUUUUUUUGUUUUUUUUUUUUGCAAUACUGUUAGGUGUGAGCAUCUUGAAUCAAAGGCAGACGUCCUUUUUUAAAGUAAUACUCUCUUUCAAGGGACUGUUUGCAAUGGCUAAACAGCUGCCUAGAGGGUGCUCACGUUCUGCCAGCGUUAUAUAGGCUGGGUUUCUGAUCCCAAGUACGUAGGCCAUGCCCCACGUAACACACAAACACUUACGCAGGAGCCUUUGCUGAGCACUGGCGGUCUGCAAGCGUCAGAACAUCCUCAUAUUGUUCAUAUGUAAGGCAAAGAACAAGUACAACAUUUGUAAAACAUUUUAAGUUAAUAUCGCUUUUAUGGGAUUUUGCGCCUUAUGGGCAUGUGUACGAGACAGCCGUGAAUGCCAUCCGAGCAGAAAGACAAUUUCUAUUAAAUUAAAUGUGUAAUUGUUAAACAAAUUUUUCACAUCUGUUUUCAAACUAACGAUGGCAAGUGGUGGUAUAUUUUUUCUUUUAAAAACAUACUUUUGAGCCAGUUGCAAACAGUCGUUUGAAGCAUAUUUUUGGAUAUUUUCUCAGGCUGCAGAUGAGUGUGUUUUUGUAUGUAUAUACAAUAUGGUUGCCCGUAAGCUUGACUUGGCCAUUCUCUUCAAAUGUGAUAGAAGUCCUAACUGGCGAGGCUGAGCGACUUUUCAUACCUGACAGUACUAGUGUAAAUAUAUCUAGCUUUCUUUAUAAAUUGAUGAAGUUGUCAGCCAACAUUUGGUUCUACUGAGACUGUUAAGUAUCAGGCCAUUACAUUGGAUACAAGGCAAAAUAGCUGUCGAGUGGUUUGACAAGAUUGUAUGGCAGCGGCUAUAGAUGUCUGGUGCAGAUGGUGGUGUUACAAAUAGACCGAUCAGAUGCCAAGAGGUUUGCUGUUGCUGUACUUGAGCAAAGGUGAGAACACAACAAAUUGUGUUCCUUAGAGAGGGAAGACGUUUUUGGCUUGUGAAAGCACACUCACACUUGGAUAGAUUUUUAUAUUUGGCCUCAUUACGUAUCACACUUGUAAAACCCCCAGUUGUCACUUUAAAUGCACAUACUCAGCUUCAGUCGUUCCCUUGGUGAUUGUAGCACACACUUUCUGUCGCACAGCCUCAUCACACGCCACAAUAUUCCAGCUUCUCCAUGUAAACUUGUUAGUUGCAUGCCAUGUUGUUGCUGCUGCUCCAGCCACCUUCUUCCUCUUGCUGAUUAUUGCAGCUAGAGUGGGAGGGAGCCAAACUCUGAGCCCUUGCCCUGGACGUACGCCACGCGCUGCUGUAAGCGCGGGAUGGGGGAAACAGCAGCGUUAGGCCUGAAACUGCUGUGGACGAUGGGGUGGCCCCCCCCUCGCUCAAGGAGAGGAACUAAAUAGAGGAAAGGAACAUACGGCGUAAACCUGACAGGGACAAAGAGGGAGAAGGUCAGUGUCGAUUGGAGAUGAAACAUCUAUGCUUCAUUGGAGUCGUCGUAGCGUCAUCACAGGUCGUUUUUCGGCCAAUGGUGUUGAGUUGGAUUGAGCCUCUGCUUCCUCUAUUUGGAUUCGUUGAGAGAGAUCAGUCGGCGACACUGACGGGAAGCGAGGAGGGCCAAGUGCCGGUUCUUUUCUCCUUCAUCUCUCUUUCUUAGUCUCUGUCUUCUUCAUCCCACCGUCCAUUUUGUUGUCUUCACAGCUCUUUCUCUGGCGCUCUGGGCUUGGAUGCCAUGGUUACGGCGUUGUCUUACAUGAAGUGCAUCUGUAGGCGGAAGGCGGAAGGGAGAUUUCGGUGCUGGAGAGAGACGACACCGCACUGGAUCUUAAGGUUUGGUUGACCGGGCAUGCACAGAUCAGCGCCAUCAUGCAAGAGCACAACAAUCAAUCCAGCUAACAGGCCCCAUGCAGAUGAAGGUUACCCUUCGGGUUGGACUCGUGGUUAAGACUUUGGAUCGUUUUAAUGAGUGAAGGAAGGAUGGAACCUGAGAUCGACAGGCGGAUUGGUGCGGUGCCUGCAGAGUGAUGCUGACUCUGCAUCCGAGACAAGGUGAGAAGCACUAUCAUCUGGGAGAACCUCAGAGUACAACCGCUUCUCUGGUCAAGAUGCCUCCCUGGGGAGUUGUUCCAGGCAUGUCCGACCGGUAGGAGGCCUUGGGGAAGACCCAGGACAUGUCGGAGAGACUACAUCGACCCGACCUCGGAUAAGCGCAAGAAGAUGGAUUGAUGGUCGCCCUUCCAUUUUGACUUUCCGUGGAUAUCCCAACACUUUUGUCCACAUGGUGUACAACUUGAGACGUAAAGAAAGACUAGCGAAGGAGAGCAAAAAGAAGAGCGGGCCAGCUGCAGUUGUGGGCAGAUCUGUAGGGCGGCGAACAACCGUAUGGAGUCUUUGAAGAGCAGCAUGAAGGCCGUGUUGAUGACGCCGUUGGUCAGCUCAUUGGAGUUGGGCUGCAGCAGAUUUAACUGAACUAGAAUGUGGCGUGAUGGCAGUAUCUGCAGGAGAACAAGAACACGGCAGCUAAGAAUCCCAGCAGAGGAAGAUACUUUUGACAAGACGCGAUGUUGUGAAACUGCAUAUUUUUACAUGAAUCAGGUGACUAAGCAAAGAGCGAAUUGGACCACUUCUCAAGUCAGUCAGGGGAGGACAUCUUAAAGCAAAAGG